rnacentral:rRNA from 1 species
AGUGAACGCUGGCGGUAGGCCUAACACAUGCAAGUCGAACGGCAGCACAGUAAGAGCUUGCUCUUACGGGUGGCGAGUGGCGGACGGGUGAGGAAUACAUCGGAAUCUACUUUUUCGUGGGGGAUAACGUAGGGAAACUUACGCUAAUACCGCAUACGACCUACGGGUGAAAGCAGUGGAUCUUCGGACCUUGCGCGAUUGAAUGAGCCGAUGUCGGAUUAGCUAGUUGGCGGGGUAAAGGCCCACCAAGGCGACGAUCCGUAGCUGGUCUGAGAGGAUGAUCAGCCACACUGGAACUGAGACACGGUCCAGACUCCUACGGGAGGCAGCAGUGGGGAAUAUUGGACAAUGGGCGAAAGCCUGAUCCAGCCAGACCGCGUGGGUGAAGAAGGCCUUCGGAUUGUAAAGCCCUUUUGUUGGGAAAGAAAAGAAGCAGGUGAAUACCCCGCUGUUCUGACGGUACCCAAAGAAUAAGCAACGGCUAACUUCGUG